ACUCCUUCUCUGCCUUUCCUACGUAUCACUCGCGUGCUGAAAGUUGGAGCUCCUUACCCAAAGACUGAGCGGAAAGAGUGACCGCCCUGGACCCCUGCCCGACUUCCCGUUAGGCCAAGCCGCUGUCCUGAAAGGGGAUCGUGUCCAGGCCGGCUUCCUGGAGACACACCUGCGCCUGCACACACCCACCGCGGUCGCGUCACCAGUGCCGCGGCCACCUGGACGAAGACCAAAGUCUGGAGGGAAUUCCCUCAGCCACAAAGCGAUGGGAAAGCGGGACCCGGAUGAGGGAUCGUGAUGUGGAGCUGCACUUCCUGGUUCCAAAUCCUGGCUCCUCCCCUCAUCCCUGGGUAAGUUGAGGGAUGAGAGCAAGAGAAGGUUGAUCCUGACUCAGAUCUCUGCAUGGGGCAUGUCACUGAUGACGGCGGCAUUCCCUGAGAGAGGGAACACUAAGUUUGAAGUUGGGCAUAGUGAGCACUAUUUUGGAUGAGUUAAGUUUAGAAGUGCCUGAAGACAUCCAAGUGGAAGAAGUGGCUGCAUGGACUGAAGAUACAGACUGGGAAACAUUAACACCAUCAAGGAACUGGAGUCCUGGGCACAGCCCUUCAAGACAGAGGAGAUUAUGGGGCUACUGAACGUAUCUUGGACUUCAGAGAAAGAAAGUGAAGCUGAGCUGAGAUCCAUUGGCUCUAUUUUGGAAAGAUGCACCCCGUGGCAUGAACUUCACAGCUCAGUUCUGGGGUCAAAGGAGUUUUCCAUUGCUCACACUGCCACCCAACUCUGGGGGCAUAAGUGUGGAAGUGGUACAGCACACAUGGAGAAGGGAUGGGAGGAGCAGGGGUGUGUAUCAGCUUAGCCGAUCCCCCGAGGAGCUGCCAAGCUUGCUACCCCAAGAACAAUGCCUCCUAGACAAUGCCUCAUAGCUCUGUGACCUCUUCAAGAUUAAGUCUCUUUGAUCUCAGCCCUUCUGAAGUGGUUUGAACCAUAUUCUAUACAAAAUUGGUAACUCCCCCAUAAGAAUUGCUUUUUAAAUAUCCUGCUCUAUUUGAAAAAGGAAUGUUAAAAAUAAAGUUUACCCUUUUACUCUCUCCCAGCAAGUGAGAUAUUCAAAACAAGAAAAAUUCCUCUAACAUGUUACGAUGUGGAAACUGGUAUUUUACUGAUUUGUCUUUUCCACUUGGCUUCAAGUUCUUUGGGGAAUGAAGAUCAUAUCAAUCCCUAGCCGACCGCUUCAGGCACAAUUGCAAAUGUUUCUUGAAUGAACUUCUAGGCUUACCUGAAUUCUAAGGGGGAUUUCCACCAUAAUGGGAAAGCCACAAGAAAACCAGCGAAGGGUUUAAAAAAAAGGGUGAAAAUAUAAGUUAUUUAUCAAGGGGUUAUCACUUUAUACAGAGAGCAUUCGAAACAAUGAUUUCCACAAAUUGGCAGCAACAGUAACAGCCAUACUAAGCCAUUGCUUUCUUUACUUCCUCUUGGUCUAGAAUAUGCUGCAAAGGGAGAAGAAGGAAGAUGUGUGGUAUGGAAUCACCUAUGGAUAAGGUUGAGAACCAUGGGCUAGAUGCUAUGGAGACCAACGUAUCACUUACUAGGCUUUACUUUGUGCCAGGCACUGGAUUCGGCAUUACCCCAUUUAAGCCUCACUACCAUCCUUCAUGUUACUAUUCCACGUUGCCGCUCAGGAGAAACAAAAUUUUUUUAUUAAAUUCAAGUAACCUGAGGUCCCAUAUUUAGUAAGAGGCAGAGGAGUUAGAUGUGUCAAUAGCUAAAUUACAUGGCUGUGUCCUCUAGCUGGCCAGGGACUGACAACAUCAGUAUCACCUGGUGACUCUCCCAGGGGAGAUGUUUUUAAAAAUCUUUUCCAGUAAUUCUGUGCAACAUGGCAAUCUGAAACCAGUCUUUCAGACCUGGAAGUUCUUUAGAGACCACAGGACUCUCUUUGAUAUUUUUUCUUUUGAAUUUUUUAAAAAUACAGAAUCCUUUUUCAUGUUCUCUGUUUAUAAAACAACUGCAUGUCAAUUACAUUAUUUUUUAGAAGAUAGGUACAAGAGCCAGGCGUGGUGGCUCAUGGCUGUAAUCACAACACUUUGGGAGGUCGAGGCAGGUGGAUCAUUUGAGGCUGGAAGUUCGAGACCAGCCUGGCCAACAUGGCAAAACCUGUCUCUACUAAAAAUAUAAAAAAUUAGCCUGGAGUAGUGGUGCAUGUCUCAGCUACUGAGACAUGCUGAGGCAUGAAAAUCGCUUGAACCCGGGAGGUGCAGGUUGCAGUGAGCCAAGAUCGCACCACUGCACUCCAGCCUGGGCAACAGAGCAAGACUGUGUCUUGACAGCAACAAAAAAAGAAGAUAGGUAUAGGAAUUAAAAAGAAAGCAAAUAAUUACUGGUAGCCUGACAACUAAGAGAUAUAUACUGAUAUUUUUUUUGCGGGGUGCAUCUCCUUGCAGGCCUUUUUCUAUGUUUAUGUUCAAACACAUUUGUAACAACAAUGAAUAAAAAACGCAUAAUAUUCAA